rnacentral:rRNA from 1 species
GAUCAUGGCUCAGGAUGAACGCUAGCGACAGGCCUAACACAUGCAAGUCGAGGGGCAACAUGGUAUCAGCUUGCUGAUACCGAUGGCGACCGGCGCACGGGUGAGUAACGCGUAUGUAAUCUACCUGUAACAGAGGGAUAACCCGGAGAAAUCCGGCCUAAUACCCCAUAAGGAUGUCUGUCCGCAUGGGCGGUCAUCUAAAGGUUUUCCGGUUACAGAUGGGCAUGCGUUCCAUUAG